AUUGAACGCUGGCGGCAGGCCUAACACAUGCAAGUCGAGCGGUAGCACAGGAGAGCUUGCUCUCCGGGUGACGAGCGGCGGACGGGUGAGUAAUGUCUGGGAAACUGCCUGAUGGAGGGGGAUAACUACUGGAAAUGGUAGCUAAUACCGCAUAACGUCGCAAGACCAAAGAGGGGGACCUUCGGGCCUCUUGCCAUCAGAUGUGCUCAGAUGGGAUUAGCUAGUAGGUGGGGUAACGGCUCACCUAGGCGACGAUCCCUAGCUGGUCUGAGAGGAUGACCAGCCACACUGAAACUGAGACUCGGUCCAGAGUCCUACGGGAGGCAGAAGUGGGGAAUAUUGCACAAUGGGCGCAAGCCUGAUGCAGCCAUGCCGCGUGUAUGAAGAAGGCCUUCGGGUUGUAAAGUACUUUCAGCGUGGAGGAAGGUGUUGUGGUUAAUAACCACAGCAAUUGACGUUACCCGCAGAAGAAGCACCGGCUAACUCCGUGCCAGCAGCCGCAGUAAAAC
rnacentral:rRNA from 1 species